UACGUAGGGUGCGAGCGUUGUCCGGAAUUAUUGGGCGUAAAGGGCUCGUAGGCGGUCUGUCACGUCGGGUGUGAAAACUCGGGGCUCAACCCCGAGCCUGCUUCCGAUACGGGCAGACUAGAGGUAUGCAGGGGAGAAUGGAAUUCCUGGUGUAGCGGUGAAAUGCGCAGAUAUCAGGAGGAACACCGGUGGCGAAGGCGGUUCUCUGGGCAGUACCUGACGCUGAGGAGCGAAAGUGUGGGGAGCAAACAGG
rnacentral:rRNA from 1 species